rnacentral:tRNA from 1 species
GGGAAGCUGGCUCAGUGGUAGAGUACUUGCCUUGCAUGCAUGAGGCCCUGGGUUCGAUUCCUCAGCACCACA